UACAGAGGCCUCAAGCGUUAGGCGGAAUCACUGGGCUUAAAGCGUGUGUAGGCGGCUGUCUAAGUGCCUUGUGAAAUCCCAUGGCUCAACCAUGGAACUGCUGGGCAUACUGGACGUCUUGAGCCAUCCAGGGGUCGCUGGAACAAACGGUGGAGCGGUGAAAUGCGUAGAUAUCUGGAGGAACACCGGUGGCGAAGGCGGCAUCCUGGACCAAUUCUGACGCUGAGGAGCGAAAGCCAGGGGAGCAAACGGG
rnacentral:rRNA from 1 species